rnacentral:rRNA from 1 species
AGCUCCAAGAGCGUAUAUUAAAGUUGUUGCAGUUAAAAAGCUCGUAGUUGGAUUUCUGGUACAAUGCGCCUGGCCCGCGGCAGUAAUGCCUGUGAGUGCCGGAGCGCGUUGGCCAUCCUUCUAGAAAACGUUUCUACCCUUUACUGGGCCGGAUUCGCGAUCUAGAUCUUUUACUUUGAAAAAAUUAGAGUGUUCAAAGCAGGCUUUUGCUAUGAAUACAUUAGCAUGGAAUAAUAAUCUAGGACUUCGGUUCUAUUUUGUUGGUUUCUAGAAUUGAAGUAAUGAUUGAUAGGGAUAGUUGGGGGUGCUAGUAUUGGCCGGCCAGAGGUGAAAUUCUUGGAUUCGGUCAAGACUAACUUAUGCGAAAGCAUUCACCAAGGAUGUCUUCUUUAAUCAAGAA